rnacentral:lncRNA from 1 species
AGGCACUAUUCAUUCCUGCAAUCUGAAUUCCUGUUCCUAUUCUUUUUGAGCUAAAUUAUUCACCUGUUCUGUGGUUCUGAGAGCUGCCUUAGAUCCUCUCCAUAAACUCAUAGUCUUUGCUUGAGAACGUUGAAGUCAUUUCUCUUGACACGAAGUGAAACAUAUUCAUUUAGCCAAAGGAUGACAGUGAGAUAAACUAGGGUGGGAGACUAAAGAAAUUUAGGUUCACUGGAGCAAUAUUUAGGAAGUAACACUGAUAUGACUUGGUAAUGGGUUCGAGGUGGGUAUUUGGGGAGUGAGUCAAGGAUGAAGCUCAGGUUUCUAAUACUGCAUUCUAGGUGAAAAGAAGAACCAUUAAAUGAGAUAAGGCACAGCAAGAGAAAGGCAAGGAAUGUAAUGCAUUCAGUUUCAGACAAAUGAACUCAAGAUGCCUGCAGGACAUUCAAUUAAAGGGGAUGUUCCUGCGUGUGCUGUAUUGCCUGCCGCUACAUAAGACGUGACUUAGCUCCUUAUCAUUCACCUUCCUCCAUGAUUGUGAGACCUCACCAGCCAUGUGAAACUCUCCCCAUGCCCCACCCCCUUGUAACUACCAUUCUACUCUCUGCCUGUAUGAGUUGACAUCUAACUGCAAUUUGGAGCUUCAGUUUUAUCUGUAAAAUGAGAAUGACUCAGCACAGGACUCAAGAUGGCGCUGUGAGAACAACCCAGGAUUGGAGCUCUCGUUGUAUCCGCGGAG